rnacentral:misc_RNA from 1 species
CAAUGUCCCAGGAUUCUGAUA